CUACGGGAGGCAGCAGUGGGGAAUAUUGCACAAUGGGCGCAAGCCUGAUGCAGCCAUGCCGCGUGUAUGAAGAAGGCCUUCGGGUUGUAAAGUACUUUCAGCAGUGAGGAAGGUGGGUAUGUUAAUAGCAUACUCAUUUGACGUUAGCUGCAGAAGAAGCACCGGCUAACUCCGUGCCAGCAGCCGCGGUAAGUACGGAGGGUGCGAGCGUUAAUCGGAAUUACUGGGCGUAAAGCGCAUGCAGGUGGUUUGUUAAGUCAGAUGUGAAAGGCCCGGGGCUCAACCUCGGAAUUGCAUUUGAAACUGGCAAACUAGAGUACUGUAGAGGGGGUAGAAUUUCAGGUGUAGCGGUGAAAUGCGUAGAGAUCUGAAGGAAUACCGGUGGCGAAGGCGGCCCCCUGGACAGAUACUGACACUCAGAUGCGAAAGCGUGGGGAGCAAACAGGAUUAGAUACCCUGGUAG
rnacentral:rRNA from 1 species